rnacentral:rRNA from 1 species
GAUGAACGCUAGCUACAGGCUUAACACAUGCAAGUCGAGGGGAAACGAUGAGAGAGCUUGCUCUCUUAGUCGUCGACCGGCGCACGGGUGAGUAACGCGUAUCCAACCUGCCUCUGACCAAGGGAUAACCCGUCGAAAGUCGGACUAAUACCUUAUGCAGUCGUCGGAAGUCAUCUGAUGACGACGAAAGAUUUCAUCGGUGAGAGAUGGGGAUGCGUCUGAUUAGCUUGUUGGCGGGGUAACGGCCCACCAAGGCGACGAUCAGUAGGGGUUCUGAGAGGAAGGUCCCCCACAUUGGAACUGAGGCACGGUCCAAACUCCUACGGGAGGCAGCAGUGAGGAAUAUUGGUCAAUGGGCGUAAGCCUGAACCAGCCAAGUAGCGUGCAGGAUGACGGCCCUAUGGGUUGUAAACUGCUUUUAUGCGGGGAUAAAGUGAGGGACGUGUCCUUCAUUGCAGGUACCGCAUGAAUAAGGACCGGCUAAUUCCGUG